AUCGCUUUUUUUGGCUCAGAUCAAGUGUAGAUCUGUUCUUAUCAGUUUAAUAUCUGAUAGAGAGGAGGGAUCGGGAGACUACAUAUUAAAUGGAUUUUUCGAACAGGGACAGGGAAGGGGGGGGACUUGGGGCCGGAGGAGCAGGGUCCACGGAAGGAGGAGGGAGGGAAUUUUGGCCUCCGAUCAAACGGU